rnacentral:rRNA from 1 species
GACGAACGCUGGCGGCGUGCCUAAUACAUGCAAGUAGAACGCACAGUUUAUACCGUAGCUUGCUACACCAUAGACUGUGAGUUGCGAACGGGUGAGUAACGCGUAGGUAACCUGCCUGGUAGCGGGGGAUAACUAUUGGAAACGAUAGCUAAUACCGCAUAAUAUUAAUUAUUGCAUGAUAAUUAAUUGAAAGGUGCAAUUGCACCACUACCAGAUGGACCUGCGUUGUAUUAGCUAGUAGGUGAGGUAACGGCUCACCUAGGCGACGAUACAUAGCCGACCUGAGAGGGGGAUCGGCCACACUGGGACUGGAACACGGCCCAGACUCCUACGGGAGGCAGCAGUAGGGAAUCUUCGGCAAUGGACGAAAGUCUGACCGAGCAACGCCGCGUGAGUGAAGAAGGUUUUCGGAUCGUAAAGCUCUGUUGUAAGAGAAGAACGGGUGUGAGAGUGGAAAGUUCACACUGUGACGGUAGCUUACCAGAAAGGGACGGCUAACUACGUG